rnacentral:rRNA from 1 species
GAUGAACGCUGGCGGCGUGCUUAACACAUGCAAGUCGAACGGGAAACCUUUUAUUGAAGCUUCGGCAGAUUUAGAUUGUUUCUAGUGGCGGACGGGUGAGUAACGCGUGGGUAACCUGCCUUAUACAGGGGGAUAACAGUCAGAAAUGACUGCUAAUACCGCAUAAGCGCACAGAGCUGCAUGGCUCGGUGUGAAAAACUCCGGUGGUAUAAGAUGGACCCGCGUUGGAUUAGCUAGUUGGUGAGGUAACGGCCCACCAAGGCGACGAUCCAUAGCCGGCCUGAGAGGGUGAACGGCCACAUUGGGACUGAGACACGGCCCAGACUCCUACGGGAGGCAGCAGUGGGGAAUAUUGCACAAUGGGGGAAACCCUGAUGCAGCGACGCCGCGUGAAGGAAGAAGUAUCUCGGUAUGUAAACUUCUAUCAGCAGGGAAGAAAAUGACGGUACCUGA